UGGGGAAUAUUGCACAAUGGGGGAAACCCUGAUGCAGCGACGCCGCGUGAGCGAUGAAGGCUUUCGAGUCGUAAAGCUCUGUCCUAUGGGAAGAUAAUGACGGUACCAUAAGAAAAAGCCCCGGCUAACUACGUGCCAGCAGCCGCGGUAAUACGUAGGGGGCUAGCGUUGUCCGGAAUCACUGGGCGUAAAGGGUUCGCAGGCGGAAAUGCAAGUCAGGUGUAAAAGGCAGUAGCUUAACUACUGUAAGCAUUUGAAACUGCAUAUCUUGAGAAGAGUAGAGGUAAGUGGAAUUUUUAGUGUAGCGGUGAAAUGCGUAGAUAUUAAAAAGAAUACCGUGGCGAAGGCGACUUACUGGGCUCAUUCUGACGCUGAGGAACGAAAGCGUGGGUAGCAAACAGG
rnacentral:rRNA from 1 species